rnacentral:rRNA from 1 species
CAAUAGCGUAUAUUAAAGUUGUUGCGGUCAAAAGCGCGUAGUUGGAUUUCUGCCGAGGACGACUGGUCCGCCCUCUGGGUGAGUAUCUGCCUCUUCUUGGAGAACGCAGAUGCACUUGACUGUGUGGUGCGGUAUCCGGGACUUGUAAUUUGAGACAACUUGAUUGUUUCAAGCAGGCGUACGCCUUGAAUGCAUUAGCAUGGAAUAGUAAGAUAGGGCAUCGGUUAUAUUUUGUUGGUUUCGAGAGCUGGGGCAAUGAUUAAUAGAGAUAGUUGGGGGCAUUCGUAAUUAACUGUCAGAGGGGACGAUUCUUGGAUUUAUUAAAGACGGACUACUGCCAAAGCAUUUGCCAAGAAUGCUUUCUUUGAUCAAGAACGAAAGUUAGGGGAUCGAAGACGAUCAGAUACCAU